rnacentral:sRNA from 1 species
UCUGGGUGUGGUAGUGCAUACCUGUAAUCCAAGCCGUUUGGGAGGCUGAGGCAGGAGGAUCAUGAGUUCAAAGCCAGGCUCAGCAAUCUCAAGGCACUAAGCAACUCAGUGAGACCCUGUCUCUA